rnacentral:rRNA from 1 species
CUAAGGCGAGGCCGACAGGCGUAGUCGAUGGAUGACGGGUUGAUAUUCCCGUACCCGUGUGCGUGCGACAAGUGAUGAAUCUUAUGGUACUAACCACCCGCCUGUUUCCGCUGGUCUUUUUGGUUGGUGGUUUCAGGUGCGUGGGAUCUUCGUGGGUAGUAGUCAAGUGAUGGGGUGACGCAGAGUGGUAGCUAGGCUUCCUUAUUGGAUUGGAGUGCAAGCGUGUGGCCUGUGGGGUUGGUAAAUCCGCCCCACAUAUAAGGGUGAGGCGUGAUGCGGACACCAUUUGUGGUGGUAGUUAGUGUGCCUGUGCUGUCUAGAAAAGCCUCUAGCGAGUGCGUGCAUGGCCCGUACCGGAAACCGACACAGGUGGUCAGGUAGAGAAUACUAAGGCGUUCGGGUGAACUGUGGUUAAGGAACUCGGCAAAAUGCCCCCGUAACUUCGGGAGAAGGGGGACCAUUACUAGUUGCUGACAGCAUGAAAGCUGGUGGUGGUCGCAGAGGAGAGAGGGAAGCGACUGUUUAUUAAAAACACAGGUCCGUGCGAAAACGUGGAAGUUGAGGUAUACGGACUGACGCCUGCCCGGUGCUGGAAGGUUAAGAGGACCCGUGAGCAUACCUAUGGUGUGCGAGGCGGAGAAUUGAAGCCCCAGUAAACGGCGGUGGUAACUAUAACCAUCCUAAGGUAGCGAAAUUCCUUGUCGGGUAAGUUCCGACCUGCACGAAUGGCGUAACGACUUCCCUGCUGUCUCAACCACAGGCCCGGUGAAAUUGCAGUACGAGUAAAGAUGCUCGUUUCGCGCGGCAGGACGAAAAGACCCCGGGACCUUUACUAUAGCUUGGUAUUGGUGUUUGGUCAUGCUUGUGUAGGAUAGGUGGGAGACUGUGAAGCUUCAACGCUAGUUGUGGUGGAGUCGUCAAGUGAAAUACCACUCUGGUGUGAUUGGGUACCUGAACCUUGGCCCGUGAUCCGGGUUGGGGACAGUGCCUGGUGGGUAGUUUAACUGGGGCGGUUGCCUCCUAAAUGGUAACGGAGGCGCCCAAAGGUUUCCUCAGUCUGGUUGGCAAUCAGAUGGUGAGUGUAAGUGUAUAAGGGAGCUUGACUGUGACACUGACGGGUGGAGCAGGUGCGAAAGCAGGGACUAGUGAUCCGGCAUCUACGUGUGGUUGUGGUGUCGCUCAACGGAUAAAAGGUACCCCGGGGAUAACAGGCUGAUCUUCCCCAAGAGUUCAUAUCGACGGGAUGGUUUGGCACCUCGAUGUCGGCUCGUCGCAUCCUGGGGCUGGAGUAGGUCCCA